rnacentral:rRNA from 1 species
UACAGAGGGUGCGAGCGUUAAUCGGAAUUACUGGGCGUAAAGCGUGCGUAGACGGUUAUUUAAGUCGGGUGUGAAAGCCCGGGGCUCAACUCCGGAACUGCCUUUAAGACUGCAUCGCUUGAAUCCAGGAGAGGUGAGUGGAAUUCCGAGUGUAGAGGUGAAAUUCGUAGAUAUUCGGAAGAACACCAGUGGCGAAGGCGGCUCACUGGACUGGGUAUUGACGCUGAGGUGCGAAAGCGUGGGGAGCAAACAGGG